AGAGUUUGAUCCUGGCUCAGGAUGAACGCUAGCGGCAGGCUUAACACAUGCAAGUCGAGGGGCAGCGGGGAGGAAGCUUGCUUUCUCCGCCGGCGACCGGCGCACGGGUGAGUAACACGUAUGCAACCUGCCCCUGUCAGGGGGACAACCCGCCGAAAGGCGGGCUAAACCCGCGUACAUGCCACCGGGGCAUCCCGGAGGCAGGAAAGGCUUCGGCCGGACAGGGAUGGGCAUGCGGCGCAUUGGGCAGUAGGCGGGGUAACGGCCCACCUAACCGACGAUGCGUAGGGGUUCUGAGAGGAAGGUCCCCCACACUGGUACUGAGACACGGACCAGACUCCUACGGGAGGCAGCAGUGAGGAAUAUUGGUCAAUGGUCGGGAGACUGAACCAGCCAAGCCGCGUGAGGGAGGAAGGUACAGAGUAUCGUAAACCUCUUUUGUCAGGGAACAAAGACUGGGACGCGUCCCCGGAUGAGUGUACCUGAAGAAAAAGCAUCGGCUAACUCCGUGCCAGCAGCCGCGGUAAUACGGAGGAUGCGAGCGUUAUCCGGAUUUAUUGGGUUUAAAGGGUGCGCAGGCGGUCUGUUAAGUCAGCGGUCAAAGCCCGGGGCUCAACCCCGGCCCGCCGUUGAAACUGGCAGUCUCGAGUUGGAGAGAAGUAUGCGGAAUGCGCGGUGUAGCGGUGAAAUGCAUAGAUAUCGCGCAGAACUCCGAUUGCGAAGGCAGCAUGCCGGCUCCACACUGACGCUGAGGCACGAAAGCGUGGGUAUCGAACAGGAUUAGAUACCCUGGUAGUCCACGCAGUAAACGAUGAAUGCUGGCUGUCCGGGGGGACUGACCCCUGGGUGGCGAAGCGAAAGCGAUAAGCAUUCCACCUGGGGAGUACGCCGGCAACGGUGAAACUCAAAGGAGUUGACGGGGGCCCGCACAAGCGGAGGAACAUGUGGUUUAAUUCGAUGAUACGCGAGAAACCUUACCCGGGCUCAAACGGGGAGUGGCGCAGGCAGAGACGCCUGUUUCCCACGGGACACUCCCCGAGGUGCUGCAUGGUUGUCGUCAGCUCGUGCCGUGAGGUGUCGGCUUAAGUGCCAUAACGAGCGCAACCCCCGCGUGCAGUUGCUAACAGUCAACGCUGAGGACUCUGCACGGACUGCCGGCGCAAGCCGCGAGGAAGGCGGGGAUGACGUCAAAUCAGCACGGCCCUUACGUCCGGGGCGACACACGUGUUACAAUGGGUGGUACAGCGGGAAGCCAGGCGGCGACGCCGAGCGGAACCCGAAAUCCACUCUCAGUUCGGAUCGGAGUCUGCAACCCGACUCCGUGAAGCUGGAUUCGCUAGUAAUCGCGCAUCAGCCAUGGCGCGGUGAAUACGUUCCCGGGCCUUGUACUCAAAGCCCGUCAAG
rnacentral:rRNA from 1 species